UACGUAGGGAGCAAGCGUUGUCCGGAAUCAUUGGGCGUAAAGCGCGCGUAGGCGGCCUCGUAAGUCCGUUGUGAAAGUCAAAGGCUCAACCUUUGAAAGCCGAUGGAUACUGUGAGGCUAGAGUCCGGAAGAGGCGAGUGGAAUUCCUGGUGUAGCGGUGGAAUGCGCAGAUAUCAGGAGGAACACCGAUAGCGAAGGCAGCUCGCUGGGACGGUACUGACGCUAAGGCGCGAAAGCGUGGGGAGCGAACAGG
rnacentral:rRNA from 1 species